AUAGCUGCGGUAUUUUGACCGUACAAAGGUAGCAUAGUCAUUAGCUUUUUAAUUGAGAGCUUGUAUGAAUGGUUUGACGAAAAAAAGACUGUCUUUAUUAUAAAAUUUGAAUUUAACUUUUAAGUGAAAAGGCUUAGAUGGUUUAGGGGGACGAUAAGACCCUGUAAAGCUUUAUUUGCGGUCAAAAUUUUAUUUAAUUAAUCAUAUAACCGUUUUAGUUGGGCGGUAUAUUUAGUUGGGGCGACACAAGUAUAAUUUUAUGUAACUGCUUGAAUUAUUUACACGAAUCCGUGGAAACUAAAGAUCCUUAGUAAAGAUUAAAAGAUCAAGUUACUUCAGGGAUAACAGCGUUAUUUCUUUUGAGAGUUCCUAUCGAAAUAGAAGAUUACGACCUCGAUGUUGAAUUAAAAUGUCUUUGUGGUGUAGCCGCUACAUAAGAAGGUCUGUUCGACCUUUAAAUUUUUA
rnacentral:rRNA from 1 species